CACGUAGGGGACGAGCGUUGUCCGGAUUCAUUGGGCGUAAAGCGCGUGUAGGCGGUCCGGUAAGUCCGCUGUGAAAGUCGAGGGCUCAACCCUCGAAUGCCGGUGGAUACUGUCGGGCUUGAGGAUGUGAGAGGCGAGUGGAAUUCCUGGUGUAGCGGUGAAAUGCGCAGAUAUCGGGAGGAACACCAGUGGCGAAGGCGACUACCUGGCCUGUUUCUUGACGCUGAGGCGCGAAAGCUAGGGGAGCAAACGGG
rnacentral:rRNA from 1 species